rnacentral:rRNA from 1 species
AUUGAACGCUGGCGGCAGGCCUAACACAUGCAAGUCGAACGGUAACAGGAAACAGCUUGCUGUUUCGCUGACGAGUGGCGGACGGGUGAGUAAUGUCUGGGAAACUGCCUGAUGGAGGGGGAUAACUACUGGAAACGGUAGCUAAUACCGCAUAACGUCGCAAGACCAAAGAGGGGGACCUUCGGGCCUCUUGCCAUCGGAUGUGCCCUGAUGGGAUUAGCUAGUAGGUGGGGUAACGGCUCACCUAGGCGACGAUCCCUAGCUGGACUGAGAGGAUGACCAGCCACACUGGAACGGAGACACGGUCCAGACUCCAACGGGAGGCAGCAGUGGGGAAUAUUGCACAAUGGGCGCAAGCCUGAUGCAGCCAUGUCGCGUGUAUGAAGAAGGCCUUCGGGUUGUAAAGUACUUUCAGCGGGGAGGAAGGGAGUAAAGUUAAUACCUUUGCUCAUUGACGUUACCCGCAGAAGAAGCACCGGCUAACUCCGUGCCAGCCGCCGCGGUAA